rnacentral:sRNA from 1 species
AGAAAAGUAACCGCCGCCCCGCGCAGGGGCGACGCUAAUAGACCGACAAGAUCACGGGUGCUUCACGCCAAACGCAAGCGAACCACCAAAAAGCCUCAA